CGUGUCGUGAGAUGUUGGGUUAAGUCCCGCAACGAGCGCAACCCUCACCCCUAGUUGCCACCGGGUAAAGCCGAGCACUCGAGGGGAACUGCCAGCGUCAAGCUGGAGGAAGGCGGGGAUGACGUCAAGUCAUCAUGCCCCUUACGUCCUGGGCUACACACGUGCUACAAUGGCCAGUACAAAGGGAUGCGAGACCGCGAGGUGGAGCUAAUCCCAAAAAGCUGGUCUAAGUUCAGAUUGCAGUCUGCAACUCGACUCCAUGAAGGAGGAAUCGCUAGUAAUCGC
rnacentral:rRNA from 1 species